GAUGAACGCUGGCGGCGUGCUUAACACAUGCAAGUCGAACGGACCAUAUUCGUAUGGUUAGUGGCAGACGGGUGCGUAACACGUGGGUGACCUGCCCUUAAGUGGGGAAUAACUCCGCUAACGCGGAGCUAAUACCGCAUAUGUUCGCUGAUUCAGUUUAGCGAGUAAAGCAGCAAUGCGCUUAGGGAUGGGCCUGCGGCGGAUUAGGUAGUUGGUGGGGUAACGGCCUACCAAGCCGAUGAUCCGUAGGGGGCGUGAGAGCGUGGCCCCCCACACUGGCACUGAGACACGGGCCAGACUCCUACGGGAGGCAG
rnacentral:rRNA from 1 species